AGGAACAACAACCACACUGACUGUAGAGGUGGAGUGUAUGUAGGAACAACAAUCACACUGACUGUAGAGGUGGAGUGUAUUUAGGAACAACAACCACACUGACUGUAGAGGUGGAGUGUAUUUAGGAACAACAAUCACACUGACUGUACAGGUGGAGUGUAUUUAGGAACAACAAUCACACUGACUGUAGAGGUGGAGUGUAUUUAGGAACAACAAUCACACUGACUGUAGAGGUGGAGUGUAUUUAGGAACAACAAUCACACUGACUGUAGAGGUGGAGUGUAUGUAGGAACAACAAUCACACUGACUGUAGAGGUGGAGUGUAUUUAGGAACAACAAUCACACUGACUGUAGAGGUGGAGUGUAUUUAGGAACAACAAUCACACUGACUGUAGAGGUGGAGUGUAUUUAGGAACAACAAUCACACUGACUGUAGAGGUGGAGUGUAUUUAGGAACAACAAUCACACUGACUGUAGAGGUGGAGUGUAUUUAGGAACAACAAUCACACUGACUGUAGAGG